rnacentral:rRNA from 1 species
UAGUCCACGCCGUAAACGAUGUCUACUAGGUCGCGGGUGCUCUGACGCGGUCGCGGCCGAAGCAAAAGUGUUAAGUAGACCGCCUGGGGAGUACGGUCGCAAGGCUAAAACUCAAAGGAAUUGACGGGGGCUCACACAAGCGGUGGAGCAUGUGGCUUAAUUCGAAGCAACGCGAAGAACCUUAUCCUGGGUUUGACAUGUAUGGAUGCUCUUGGUGAAAGCCAAGUAGGCUGCCUUCGGGUGAAACUUACACAGGUGCUGCAUGGCUGUCGUCAGCUCGUGUCGUGAGAUGUUGGGUUAAGUCCCGUAACGAGCGAAACCCUUGUCGUUAGUUACCAGCGAGUAAUGUCGGGGACUCUAACGAGACUGCCGGUGUUAAACCGGAGGAAGGUGGGGAUGACGUCAAGUCCUCAUGGCCUUUAUGCCCAGGGCUGCACACGUGCUACAAUGGUCCGGACAAACCGACGCAAAACCGCGAGGUCGAGCAAAUCGGAAAAACCGGGCCUCAGUUCGGAUUGCAGG